rnacentral:tRNA from 1 species
CUCCCAGUAGCUCAGCUGGAUAGAGCACGCGCCUUCUAAGCGUGGAGUCGGGGGUUCGAAUCCCUCCUGGGAGGCCA